UUGGAAGGGUGUCAAGUCUGGGUUGUGAAGUAAAAUAUGGGUUUCAUAACUUUGUAGAAGGGGAACAACCUCACUGUAUGAUGGCAUGGGAGGUUUAAGCAUGGAAGUAGUAAAAGGUUCAUAGCGAAUGCCUAAGCCAGUAAGAAGGGAGAAAACCUUGGUUUUGUCACUUACUGCAUGGCCAAUGGCUGCAAGACUGUCGCAAAUACUCUUGAAUUUGCGAAUAUAGUCAUUGAGGGAAGUAUCCAAAUCUUUCCUCAGAUAAGUUAAUUGUUGAGUGAGUUGAAAUUGACGCUCCUGUGAAGCUUGG
rnacentral:lncRNA from 1 species